rnacentral:rRNA from 1 species
UACGGAGGAGGCAAGCGUUAUCCGGAAUUAUUGGGCGUAAAGAGCUCGUAGGCGGCUUGUCACGUCGAUUGUGAAAGCCCGAGGCUUAACCUCGGGUCUGCAGUCGAUACGGGCUAGCUAGAGUGUGGUAGGGGAGAUCGGAAUUCCCGGUGGAGCGGUGAAAUGCGUAGAUAUCGGGAAGAACGCCAAGGGCGAAGGCACUCUGCUAGGCCUGAUUUCGUGACUGACACUCAGGGACGAGAGCCAGGGGAGCGAAUGGG